CGAUUCCAAAUUAUAAUUCAAAUAUUUAUAUAUAAAACUUUUAAACGAACGCGUAACCGGUUAACUAAACGCGUUUCAUCUUCUAUCAAGCCAACAAAUCAUAUUUAACUUAUGAGAUAUUUCACAAGCAAACAUACCUAAUUGCAGAAAUAAAACAGCAGGAACAAGUUGGUUCAUUACAGAUACUCGCACGCUUACUCCUCUCGCUUAAUGAAACUAUUUUCACGGUGGAUUUUCACAAUUGCCGAUUCGAAGGGAGAUCUUCAUCGUUAAUAAUUUACUCUAAGUGUAAAAAAAUGGAUAGCACGAAACACGUUCCACGAUAGAAGUUGCGUGUCUUUUUUGAAUGAUGAAUGAAAAGAAAGAAGGCGAGAAAUUAAUCAACCGUUCCAUCCUCGAUGGAACACCGCUCAAUUCAACUUGUUUAAAACUUAAUUAAGAUAGCAAUAUAAUUUAAUCGACCACGAGUCGUAAAUUAUUUCAUCAGCCAGUCUCCUUAAAAUUUUUCCAAAACAUCUUACCUCAACUUUCUUCAAAUACACGUAUAAUCAUUUCAACUCUUAAACGUCAAAUUAUUUCUCAUCUAACGAAACACUUCCGUACAAUUUUCCACGAAUAUCCCAAUUCUAUAUCAGAAAUAAGCAAUCGAUGCCCGCAUCUCUUCUCGCCCCUCACAAGUACCCCCAUCAAACCCCGAUCAAAUGCAAUUAAACCCCCUCCCCUCCAAGAAUCCCAACGAUUCCAACUGCUCGAAGCGAGCGCAAUUUUUCCGUGACACGCGUCUGGAAAAGGGGGUCCGGAAGAAGCGGAUACCGCGAGGCGGAGAACGCGCGUGCACGUGACCGAGCGGAGCGGGUAGCGUGGGUGGAGAGACGCGCGUAAGCCCAUUGAUUGCCCACGGACCAUUCAUGGGAUCCGCGGGGAUCGUGAGAGGAAGCGGACGCGGCCGUGCGUUUUCGUGUGGGAUUGAGCGAGCGUGUGGGUGUCCGCGCUGCCUUAUUUGUACCGAGGCGAGCGGUUUUUCGCAUUUCCGCCCGAACUGCACGCACCGACAGGGCCCACCACCGGGCAGGGGGCCCGCCGCGGCCUUGCCUGGAAUAAGGUGGUGGGUGGCGGUGACGGUACGCUGCGAUAUUUCUAGUACGAUUUUUCCAACAAUUCGAGUAUGUGUGAUGUACGAAGAGGGAAUUGGAAAUAUUGAGGCUUAUCUGUGUUUAUUUACAUGCUUGUAUCUAUUCAAUGUUUAUUUGGACGAGAGAACGUAUCGAGGAGAGUGGAAACAUUGCGUCGUUAGUAGCGAUUGGGAACCGGAAUCGAAUACAUUUGGUGUCCCCUGUAGUCGGUUGGAAACGGGAAAGUCGAGUGUGGGUGGAUGGAUGGAUGAUUCACGAAGGUGGGGAACUGCGAGGGUGGGCGGUGAACGGCGCCUUGGCACGUCUUAGCUGUAUCUUAUUGGGUGAAAAUAGAUGUGCUUCUGGUGGUUGAUUGGCGUGGGUAUAAAGGAGAUUCGUUUAAAAGUAUUGUGCAGGGUGUUUCGUUUAAUUUGUACGUCUUGUUUCGCGAGAACAACUUCCCCAUUGUAUACCCCUCUUCCUCCUCUUCGAGUACUUUCUAUUCGAACAACAAUAUCCUCAAAUAUUCCUUGGAGAUCGCGAUCCGCGCGAAGAAAGGAGGAGAAUUUAUAUACUUUCCGUUCCCUUCCAACCGAUCCUCGAGACCUUUUAUCGAGAAUAAAAAAAAAAAAAAAAGAAAGAAAAGGUGGGAAGAAAAUGUCAGGCUGUUAAUAAAAUGGCGAAAGGAGAGGGACAUUUUGCCACGGUCGAAACUCCAUUAUAAACCGCUUAAUUUAAUAUUCUCGCUGCAUAGUCAUGAAGUUUAAAGCGUUCCGUGAGACGGUAACUCAAGUAACUAAAGAAGUGGACAACUUUCCUCGUGCCUGCCCACGCGGAUAUUGCCCACGCGCUUCCGACUUGUUUCCCUCGCGCGGGUUAUGCCCUGCCUUACGCUCUCCUAUCGAACCUGAACGCGAAACAAUUUGCAACCGUGUAAAUUCCCUCUUCUUUUGCAACGUUAUACGAAAAUCUCGUUUCGAAUUCGCGUGGACGAACACGCGCGAAUCAGUGCCCCAUUUUUAACGAAAGAGAGAGAGAUGAAAUAAAAAAAGGGAAAGAAAAGAAGAAAGAAAUUUCAAGUACAAAUGUACAAUGGCAUUUCUUAAAUUGACAUCCUUUCUCGGAGGAUUUUGUUUUUAAAUAUCUGUCAAUAAGUUUAAUAAAAUGGCGGGGGAAAUGUAUGCAUAAAGCGAGGAAGCGAGAAGGAUUGGAAAGAAGGAUUUUAGGGAGGGAGGAUAUAUCCUUCGACUGACGUGGAGAUGUGGCGAGGCACAUGUGUGGCAGGAAUUUUAUUCGAAGGGAUGAAAAUUGCGAUGCUUUAAUCCGGACAUUGCGUAUACACAAACGGACAGCAGGUUGAAGAGGGUAAGACAAGGAUAUUUCCGACACUCGGCGCCAAGGGUUGGGAGCCUCGUUAAUGAAUUCGGUUGCUUGAACGAAAUCCUGUAUUUCGUGGCCGGUUUUCGUGUUAUGUCGUUUAUAUUAUAUACGUGUACCGUAUAAUUUCUCUUUGAAUUCGGUUAAGUUGUCAAAACAAGUUUACCAGAAAUCUUGAAUAAAAAAUAUAUAUAAUAGUAGCUGCCAGGUUGGUACACACGGAAUGUCUCGAAUAAAUCUUUCUUCUUGUUCGAAAACGUGUUUAAUCGAAUUAAUUUUCACACGAAUCAUUCCAUUCACUUCUCUCGAUCAUUAGAUAAUUCGUUUUUUCCGUGGGAUUGUCUUAUUUCAACCUUUUAAACUUAAAAAAGUUAUAAAGUUUCCUUAUACAUACCCGAUAACCAUUUCGAGUAUCGUUCGUUAAAAUACAGGCAAUUUUAGAAACAGAAAGCUCCAUUCACGAAUAUUCCAUUCUCGAAAUAUCUAUCCUCCCGGCACAAAAGGCUUAUUUUUCGUUUCGACCGAGGCCACAAUGGAGAGGAGAGACAUUGAAUGCCCGUGCUUCCCAUUAUUCGACUCCUUGGUGCACGCGUGCGUACACGCGACGUCUUUGUGCUCGUGGAACACCUUCAUCUAACCGUAGUACACACGAUACUUCUUCAUCGGUCCAACUUCCUCCGCGGACGGACAGGAUUCUUCUCUUCCAGCCUCUGCUGAGGAGAGUUACGCAGCUUUUGUCCUCUCGCGCGCGCACGUGAAUAUUCAUUCUUCCACCGCAUCGAUUCCACGCACGCUACAACUUCAUUCACCACCCACGCCACCACGGUUUUCUUUGACCCAGUUCGAUUGUUUUUUUUUUUUUUUCCGCUUCCUCGCUUUUACUACGGUUUUAUGACGAAUAACAGGCGGAAAAAUACCGAGGGAACGGAAGGAUGGAACGAUCGAACUUGACGUUGGUUUCGUUUUUUCUUUCUCUUUUUCUUUUUUUUUUUUUUUUAGAGGUAGAAAGAGUUUUAUGGAAAGAUAGUCUAUAGAAGGAUAGUCGAAGGAAAUUUAAAGAAAGAUUGGCGAAAAUAAUUCUUCUGUGAGCGAUCAAAAUUAUAUCAGCUUCGUACUUGAAAGUCUAUUGCUAUAGCAUGGUCAUGGAAUUUGUUUUUCCGCUAUGUAAUAUUAUGAAUGAAAAAAUAUAACGUGUUAUUUUUAGAUAAGAGUUUCGAGAGAGACUUUAUUCGAUGUAUUAAAAUUUUUUAUUCAAAUAAACGUAGGGGAUAAUUUAUUAAUAAUGUAAUUAAUUAUUGAGAAACGAAUAACAAGGAAUGCAGUAGGUAUGUUAGCUUUGCGUCUAACAUAUCCGAAAAACUGUAAAUUUAUCAUUGCGUGGGAGAAAACAAUCCACCAACCGGUUAAACAACUUGGGCACGUGUGUGUCCAAGUCGUACGUUGUCCUAUUCAUUUUUAUUCCUGUCGUACAUAUAUAAAUUAUUUUUCCACAUUUUACAACUUUUUCACCACUUUCAAGAUAAAUAAUUGUACAAUUAUGCGUGUAAAUGUAUUUCCAUUGCUGAUAAAAUCCGGCCAAUAAAAUUUAAAAUUUA